rnacentral:rRNA from 1 species
UACGAAGGGGGCUAGCGUUGCUCGGAAUUACUGGGCGUAAAGCGCACGUAGGCGGAUUGUUAAGUUAGGGGUGAAAUCCCGGGGCUCAACCCCGGAACUGCCUUUAAUACUGGCAAUCUCGAGUCCGAGAGAGGUGAGUGGAAUUCCGAGUGUAGAGGUGAAAUUCGUAGAUAUUCGGAGGAACACCAGUGGCGAAGGCGGCUCACUGGCUCGGUACUGACGCUGAGGUGCGAAAGCGUGGGGAGCAAACAGG